ensembl:lncRNA
GAAAUACGUACCUCUGCACACUUUUUUGCAGCGCCACAAGUAUGUACAUAUUGCUACAGUUUUGAAACACAAACGUCCACUGGGGUCGCUAAAGAGAAGGACUGCAUGUGACAUUGCAAUCGACAGUAAGAGCAGAGGUUCCAGUCAUAUCAAAGAGGAAGAAGAGUAAAGUUUUUUUUUUUUUAGCCUAUCAAGGAACAGGAGAUUUGAAGAUCAUCUGUAAUCUCACUAUCUUUCUGCCUCUUGCAGUAAAACGCAGACAGGUGUUAAAAAAUAAAUGACUGAGAGAGUCAUCUGAUCAGCCUAUACCAGAGAAAAAUACGGAGGAGGAAUUACACCGUGAUCUUGAGGAAAUAAUGGCUGAUUUGGAGGAGAUGCACCUCCGAACAUGUUUAGGGGCGAGAUAUUUGCAUACCCUCUGUUUCUGAAGAAGGAACUGGCCACAAAAACAAACUGCAAGUUCUUCUGCACUGACAUCAUGUGUCAAUAUUGGUCCUAUCUGCAAGAGGUGGCUCAAGCAUUCCCAGAAAUGGAAAACUUGACUCAGAUGAAGCCAUUUCUCUCAGUUAUGAAUGCAAAGGGGCACGCUACAAAUUGUGAGACUAUCCAAAAGACAAAAGGAAGUCAAAGAGGACAUUGAGGCUAUAAAGAAGUGCACGCAAAGGUCUGAUGAGGAACUGCAACAGUGGGUCAUUGAUGUGACACAGUGGGCAGUUGACACACCAGAUGACCUCAGAACAGAUGAUCCAGUGGCGUUGCAACAUCUGAUUGAAGGCCUAUUCUUGGGCAUCCAGCAGAAAAAGAGGAAUCUAUAUCGAGUAACCGACCGUAACAAACAGCGACACAAGAUCCGAAGAUGGAUUAGAGAGGAUAAGAAAAAGCUGUUUAAUGCCAUAUCCCAAUACAAUGAUCUUCCAACCACCACAGAAUCUGUAGAUUCAGUUGAAGACCUUCUGGCAACAGAAAGCCCUAUCUGGCCUUGGGAUUCUGAACCUGACACUUCCUUAGGCAUGAAGAAGAAGGUUUUUGACAAGGUGAUGUAGCUGGAGAGACUGAUUGAGGAAGAGGCUAUAAUUUUAGAGGAAAUGAAACAACAUUGGACUCAUCUUACAAGAACCUGCAGGGCCUUGAAGGACCAGGCUAAUGUACUAUCAGAUGACCUGGCCACACAGAACCUGGAGUUCGGGGUUAGAGGUUAUUUCCUGUAUAGAAGAAAGGAAGCUGACAGUAUGUGUGCACAUGUAAUCCAUCUGUUGUUAGCACUAGAAGCAAUGUCUUUUCACUCUGUCAUGUAAGAUGAUGUUGAAAGCCACAGUAAACAGCAAGAAAUCGCUCACUACGACUUGUCGUCAUUUUGCAUCAGAGUUAGCUGGCUGUAUAGCUACAGUUGCUACACUGCAACUACCCUUCAGGACUGUCUGGUCAAGCUUACCAUGGCCUGCACAGUGCUGUCCUCCAAAAAUGUGAGGAGCUCAAAACAGACCUGGUACCUGUGAAAGAAACCUACUCCCAAAUAGUGGUAAAUGGGAAUGGUGGAACUGUUGUUGAAGAAGAUGAAGACCCAUAUGAGCAUGUCUCCACAGAUGCCUCUACAGAUGAUGAAUUAUAGAUUCUCUCUUCUCCACUGCACAAACUGGUCUCCUGACUCUGAGUAGCUCAAGUUAGCUCUCCCCAUUGUAAAUAAUAAAAACUUGAACCUGAA